CGCCUGGGGAGUACGGUCGCAAGAUUAAAACUCAAAGGAAUUGACGGGGACCCGCACAAGCGGUGGAUGAUGUGGAUUAAUUCGAUGCAACGCGAAAAACCUUACCUACCCUUGACAUGUCACUAACGAAGUAGAGAUACAUUAGGUGCCCGUAAGGGAAAGUGAACACAGGUGCUGCAUGGCUGUCGUCAGCUCGUGUCGUGAGAUGUUGGGUUAAGUCCCGCAACGAGCGCAACCCUUGUCUUUAGUUGCUACGCAAGAGCACUCUAAAGAGACUGCCGGUGACAAACCGGAGGAAGGUGGGGAUGACGUCAAGUCCUCAUGGCCCUUAUGGGUAGGGCUUCACACGUCAUACAAUGGUGCAUACAGAGGGUUGCCAACCCGCGAGGGGGAGCUAAUCUCAGAAAAUGCAUCGUAGUCCGGAUCGUAGUCUGCAACUCGACUACGUGAAGCUGGAAUCGCUAGUAAUCGCGGAUCAGAAUGUCGCGGUGAAUACGUUCCCGGGUCUUGUACACACCGCCCGUCAUACCAUGGGAGUGGGUUUUGCCAGAAGCCGUUAGCCUAACCGCAAGGAGGGCGACUGCCACG
rnacentral:rRNA from 1 species